AUCCUUCUCGAUCAUUCUAAUCGGCGGCUCUUCUUCGACGAGACGAGGCGUGCCCCACCUCGGGUCCUUCAUUCUCCGGCGCUUCCAACAGAAGAGGACAGAAACCGAACCCAACGAAAAGGAGCAGCUUCCUCUCCCCCGUCUCCUCGACGGCGUUCGGCGCCAGAUCGAGAUCGGUACUAUUGCUUCACUUCAUCUUGCUCCCGCCCUUGAUCUGCCCUUCUCUGGCGCGCUGAUCCAGCGGUUUGAAUCUUUCCUGGCCAGAUCAGAAACAUUUUUGUGGAGAUGCUAAUUGUCAUUUGGAGAUCUUAAAGUAUGGCAUCUACCAGCAAGGCUGAUGGGAAGGCAGCAUUAUCAUUACCAGAAACAUUUUUGUUUCUGAUGUAGAAACACUUCUGACUGUUGUAUUUCGGUGGCUCGGAUACAUUCAGCCCUCUCAUUUACCAUUAUCCAUCCAUCCUUUUAAAAUUUGUUCGUUUUGCAAACUUAUCUAUCGUUGGUAUGAAUACAAGUUUGAUGUGGAAUUCUGUUGGAUUCUAUCAGGUUUGUCUUUGUCACAAAGUAAAAACAUUGAAUUUCAUUAAUUGACAUAAUUUUGUAAUGAUAUGACAGAUUUGCAACAAUAUGUAUGUAAACAGAUGCACAUUUCUUAAUUUUGUAACUCUUGCACUGUAACUUAGUUGUGAUUAGAUUGAUUCUUCUUGCACUCUUGUGGUAAUAGACCUCAAAUCAUCACAGUUUUUCCUUC